rnacentral:lncRNA from 1 species
UGUAGGGCAACUCCUCUGAGCUCUAGCACACUCCAGCAAGCAUCCCUGGUCGUGCUGGACUGAAAUAGAUAAGAACAAGAGGUGAAAUGACCAAAAGACCCUUGCUGCCACGUUUCUGCCAGUCUGUACCGGUACAAGGUGAUGGCUGUACCGGUACAGCAAGCAGAAAAAUACUGAUUUCGUCCGUUCAAUGCACUUUCUUGCUUUUAACCCUCCAAUCACUCUCUAACUUAUUCAAAAACUUGUCCAAGUCAUUUAGAACAUGUAAUAUAGAUCCACACAUCCUUCCUCACACUCGAACUUCGCAAUUCGCAAAUGUUCAGUAUAUUACAGCACCUCACCCAACAACGGCCUAGGUUCAAUGACUUAGUCACCCGGCGGCGAAAUCGUCGCACACACCCCACGACAGUUGUUCAGUCAACAGGCGGUAGGGUCCACAAACUGGCUAACCAUCCGGCGGCGAAAUCGUCGCACACAUGCCACGACAAUGGUUCUCUAGCCCCCGGGCGGCGAAAUCGUCGCACACACCCCCACACCACUUUGGGUGUAUCAGCAAGCUUUGGGAUUCCGGAAUCCAUAUCACAUUAACCAAGGGUUGAUCUUAACCCUAUGGAACUGACCUCUCUAGGUCUAAGCCUUUACUCAACCUAAAUUAGCCCAUUAGGUUUAUUGCUUUCACAUUCUUAACCUAGGUUUAUUAUACUAGGAUUAUUAUUCUUUCCAACCUAGGUUCACUUGACUCUAGGUUAAGCACCUUUAUAUCACAACCUAUGUACUUUACAUUAGGUUUAGCAUCAUUCUUAUUUAACCUAUGUUCUUGACACUAGGACUUAUGCCACUCGAUCUAUAGGUUGAUUCAUGUCCACCUAUACUUGUCCUUUUCUUAGCAUUCUUACCAUGUACUUGCAUUAGUAUUUCCAUAUUAUGCUUAUUACUUAUACUUAGCAUUCUUAGCUUGGCAUCAUUUACCGUAAUCAUUCUAGGGUUAUCCACCUAGUUUUUCAUGCACAUUUAUGUUACUUACCAACAUAUUACUCAUACGUUCAUGCAUUUACUUAGCAUCUU